rnacentral:rRNA from 1 species
GACGAACGCUGGCGGCGUGCUUAACACAUGCAAGUCGAACGGAAAGGCCCUGCUUUUGUGGGGUGCUCGAGUGGCGAACGGGUGAGUAACACGUGAGUAACCUGCCCUUGACUUUGGGAUAACUUCAGGAAACUGGGGCUAAUACCGGAUAGGAGCUCCUGCUGCAUGGUGGGGUUUGGAGAGUUUCGGCGGUUGGGGAUGGACUCGCGGCUUAUCAGCUUGUUGGUGGGGUAGUGGCUUACCAAGGCUUUGACGGGUAGCCGGCCUGAGAGGGUGACCGGCCACAUUGGGACUGAGAUACGGCCCAGACUCCUACGGGAGGCAGCAGUGGGGAAUAUUGCACAAUGGGCGGAAGCCUGAUGCAGCAACGCCGCGUGCGGGAUGACGGCCUUCGGGUUGUAAACCGCUUUCGCCUGGGACGAAGCGUGAGUGACGGUAAUGGGUAAAGAAGCACCGGCUAACUACGUG